GUAAGGAAUAUUGGUCAAUGGACGAAAGUCUGAACCAGCCAUGCCGCGUGGAGGAUGAAGGUCCUCUGGAUUGUAAACUUCUUUUAUAUGGGACGAAAAUGGGGCUUUCUAGCUCAACUGACGGUACCAUAUGAAUAAGCACCGGCUAACUCCGUGCCAGCAGCCGCGGUAAUACGGAGGGUGCAAGCGUUAUCCGGAUUCACUGGGUUUAACGGGUGCGUAGGUGGAUUGGUAAGUCAGAGGUGAAAUCUCCGGGCUCAACUCGGAAACUGCCUUUGAUACUAUGAAUCUGGAAUAUUGUGGAGGUUAGCGGAAUAUGUCAUGUAGCGGUGAAAUGCUUAGGUAUGACAUAGAACACCAAUUGCGAAGGCAGCUGGCUACACAUAUAUUGACACUGAGGCACGAAAGCGUGGGGAUCAAACAGGAUUAGAUACCCUGGUAGUCC
rnacentral:rRNA from 1 species